CUUAUCUAUAUGUAUCUUGAUCAGAAGAUGAUGAUUCAGUUGAUGAUAUAUCACAAAAUUUUUUCUAAUUAUCAUCCUAUUUUGGCCAAAGAUUUUCAGAAUCAUCGACCUAUGAGAUCACAUAGAAUGUUCGUUCUCCUUAUUAGGAGUGACUGAUUCCUUAUUGAUCACUCACAACCUCCAUGCAUACUUCAUCACAUCCAGAACACCCCAUGC
rnacentral:lncRNA from 1 species